CACGCGCGUGUUGAUGAGUCUCGAUGUAGCACUCGACGACGAACCUGACUAUACUCAGACUGACGUACGGAGAGAGCACGCUACUCUGUGCAGCAGCGCGUAUACAGAGGUGCAGCGUGUCGAUAUGGCGUAGCGCGUGUAGCGCUUGCAGUCGAUGUGAAGCCUCGCUCAUCGAGAGUGCGUCGACUGCAGAGCUGAGUACGAGAGGUGCGGAUCUCAGUAGAGGUGAAUCGUAGAUAUGGGAGACACGUGCGAGCGACACUGACGUCACUGACGCUGAGACGCGAAGCGUGGUAGCAACAGAUUAGAUAUCCUGGUAGUGCACGCCGUAAACGAUGAGACUAGGUGUCGUGGGUGUUGACCCCGCGGUGCCGUAGCUAACGCAUUAAGUUCUCCGCCUGGGAAGUACGGUCGCAAGACUAAAACUCAAAGGAAUUGACGCGGGCCCGCACAAGCGGUGGAGCAUGUGGUUUAAUUCGACGCAACGCGCAGAACCUUACCUGGUCUUGACAUCCUCGGAAUGCCUCAGAGAUGAGGCGGUGCCCGCAAGGGAGCCGAGAGACAGGUGCUGCAUGGCUGUCGUCAGCUCGUGUCGUGAGAUGUUGGGUUAAGUCCCGCAACGAGCGCAACCCUCGCCUUUAGUUGCCGCGCAAGCGGAUCUCUAGAGGGACUGCCGGUGUUAAACCGGAGGAAGGUGGGGAUGACGUCAAGUCCUCAUGGCCUUUAUGACCAGGGCUACACACGUGUUACAACGGUGUGUACAAAGCGUUGCCACUCGCGAGAGGGAGCGUAAUCGCAUAAAGACCGGUCUCAGUUCAGAUUGGAGUCUAGCAACAUCGGCUCGCCAUGACAGAGUCGGAAUCUGCGUAGUAAUCGUAGAUCAGCACGCUUCUGCAGUG
rnacentral:rRNA from 1 species